CUAAGGUGGGAUAGAUGAUUGGGGUGAAGUCGUAACAAGGUAGCCGUAUCGGAAGGUGCGGCUGGAUCACCUCCUUUCUAAGGAAAAUACGGAAGACAUUGAGUUCGUUUUGUUUAGUUUUGAGAGGUCUUGUGGGGCCUUAGCUCAGCUGGGAGAGCGCCUGCUUUGCACGCAGGAGGUCAGCGGUUCGAUCCCGCUAGGCUCCAUUAGGAUAUGGAAUUCACCUUUAGUUGAUGAUAUCCUAAAGUAGCACAUUGAAAAUUGAAUAACGAUAUCAAAUAGUAACAAGAAAAUAAACCGAAAACGCUGUGAAUAUUAAUGAGUUUAUGACUGAAAGGUCAAAAUAA
rnacentral:misc_RNA from 1 species